AACGAACGCUGGCGGCAGGCCUAACACAUGCAAGUCGAGCGGACCUUUCGGGGUCAGCGGCGGACGGGUGAGUAACGCGUGGGAAUAUGCCCUUCUCUACGGAAUAGUCCUGGGAAACUGGGGGUAAUACCGUAUACGCCCUUUGGGGGAAAGAUUUAUCGGGGAAGGAUUAGCCCGCGUUGGAUUAGGUAGUUGGUGGGGUAAUGGCCUACCAAGCCGACGAUCCAUAGCUGGUUUGAGAGGAUGAUCAGCCACACUGGGACUGAGACACGGCCCAGACUCCUACGGGAGGCAGCAGUGGGGAAUCUUAGACAAUGGGGGCAACCCUGAUCUAGCCAUGCCGCGUGAGUGAUGAAGGCCUUAGGGUUGUAAAGCUCUUUCAGCUGGGAAGGUAAUGACGGUACCAGCAGAAGAAGCCCCGGCUAACUCCGUG
rnacentral:rRNA from 1 species